rnacentral:rRNA from 1 species
UACGUAGGGGGCUAGCGUUGUCCGGAUUUAUUGGGCGUAAAGAGCGUGUAGGCGGCUAUGCAGGUCCGCUGUGAAAACUCGAGGCUCAACCUCGAGACGUCGGUGGAAACCGUAUGGCUAGAGUCCGGAAGAGGAGAGUGGAAUUCCCGGUGUAGCGGUGAAAUGCGCAGAUAUCGGGAAGAACACCCGUGGCGAAGGCGGCUCUCUGGGACGGUACUGACGCUGAGACGCGAAAGCGUGGGGAGCGAACAGG